rnacentral:rRNA from 1 species
CCCUUAGAUGUUCUGGGCCGCACGCGCGCUACACUGAUGAACGCAACGAGACCACCUGUACCGAAAGGCAUGGGUAAACUUGUGAAAGUUCAUCGUGAUGGGGAUAGAUUAUUGCAAUUAUUAAUCUUCAACGAGGAAUUCCUAGUAAGCGCGAGUCAUCAGCUCGCGCUGAUUACGUCCCUGCCCUUUGUACACACCGCCCGUCGCUCCUACCGAUUGAAUGGUCCGGUGAAAUCUUCGGAUUGCUGGAUAGGACUUCAUUGACCUAUCUGCGAGAAGUUGCUUGAACCUUAUCAUUUAGAGGAAGGAGAANUCGUANCA